rnacentral:rRNA from 1 species
AUGCCGCCUCCGCUCGGCGGCGACGACUCCUGCUUGCUUACCCCGCUCAUCCCCGCCACCCCUCCUCCUCUUCCUCCCCGGGCGACCGCGAGGCUCCACCCGCUCCCUCUCCUCGUCGGCGCCUUGUUCGCCACCUACUACCACCUCCUCGUCGCGCCCGCCCCGUCGUACUACCAAUCACUCUUCCUCUCACUGGGCUCCAACGACACCGCCGCCGCGCACCUGCGCGCGCUCACCGUCCGCCCCCACCUCGCGGGCACCGAGGCCAACGCGCUCGCCGCCGAUCACGUCGUCUCCACGCUCUCCUCCCUCUCCUUCCCCACCCGCGUCACGCCCUACGAAGUCCUCCUCUCCUACCCCGUCGGCCGCUCCCUCUCCCUCUCCGCGCCAGGCCGCGACGCCACCGCCUUCGCGUUGGUGCAGGACACCUACCCUGGCGACCCCUACGCCGCUGCCUCGGCGGAGGUCGUCCCCACCUUCCUCGCCUACGCCGCGUCCGGCUCGGCCGCCGCCGAGGUGGUCUACGCCAACUACGGCCGCAGGGAGGACUACGCCUACCUCGCCUCCCGGGGCGUAAACGUCACCGGGAAGGUCGCCCUCGCGCGCUACGGCAAGGUGUACCGGGGCGACAUCGUGAAGAACGCCCGUGACGCUGGCGCGGCGGCGGCUGUGAUAUUCACCGACCCCAAGGACUACACGCCGGGGAAGGCCUUCCCGGAUGGGCCGUGGAUGCCGCCGACCGGCGUGCAGGUGGGGAGCACGUUCAAGGGGGUGGGGGACCCCACGACGCCGAUGUGGGCGUCGUCGGAAGGUUGCGAGCGUGUGAGCGUCGCGAAGGCGAUGUCCACGGACGACAUGCCGGGGAUACCGGCGCUGCCGGUGUCGGGGAGGGACGGGGAGGAGAUACUACGGCUCGUCGGCGGGGACGUCGCGCCAGAGGAUUGGCAAGGCGGUGACGGCGCGCCGGUUUACCGCCUCGGGCCCGGGCCGGCGGUACUCAAUCUGACAUACACAGGGAAUGAGACGAUAGCUACUAUUCAGAAUGUUAUUUCGGUGAUUGAAGGGAAAGAAGAACCCGACAGGUAUGUUAUUCUUGGCAACCAUCGUGAUGCGUGGACAUUUGGGGCAGCUGACCCAAACAGCGGAACGGCAGCCUUGCUUGAGCUAGCUCAAAGGUUGUCUAAGCUACAAAACAAGGGUUGGAGACCUCGUCGAACCAUCAUUUUGUGUAAUUGGGAUGCUGAAGAGUACGGAUUGAUAGGUUCCACAGAAUGGGUUGAAGAGAACAGGGCAAUGCUAACUUCGAGAACUGUUGCUUACCUGAAUGUAGAUGUUGGUGUGUCUGGUUCUGGAGUUGACGCAUCAGCCACUCCUCAACUUGAUGAGUUGCUCAAGCAGGCGAGUAAAAAGGUUCAAAAUCCGGAUAAUGGAACAGAAAGUCUGUAUGACUUGUGGAUGGCUUCUGAUAGUUCUCUGAUUGGAAGGUUAGGAGGUGGAGGAUCAGAUUAUUCUGCCUUUGUUCAACAUAUUGGUAUUCCUUCAGUCGACAUGGCUAUUGGGUCAGGAUACGCAGUUUACCACAGCUUGUAUGAUGACUUCACAUGGAUGGAAAAGUAUGGAGAUCCCAUGUUCCGCAGGCAUGUUGCAGUGGCAAGCAUAUGGGGGCUUGUUGCUUUGAGGCUUUCAGAUGAGGAGAUCCUACCCUUCAACUACAGUUCCUAUGCCACAGAGCUCGAGAAUGGUGCAGUGGAUAUAAAUAAGAGAGUACUAGGAAUGCCUGUCAGCUUAUCUCCCCUCCACAGGUCGAUCAAACAGUUCAAUAGAGCAGUGCUGAAAGUGGAUUCUGAACUUCAGGCUCUGCAAACAUGGAAAUUUUGGUCCCCGUGGCGAAACAACCCGUUGAGGGUAAGAGAUCUGAAUGACCGGCUGAUGAUGACUGAACGGGCAUUCACAGAGUGGGAAGGACUUUCUGGGAGACCGUGGUACAAACACAUGGUAAGCUGUGGUUUCGGUAAAAUACGUAGUUGGUUCAUUACAUACCAUCAUGCUUACGGAAAAGAAAUCAUGCAGAUUUAUGGACCUUCACUGUACAACGAUUAUGGAGCCGAAGUGUAUCCAGGUGCGGAUGAUGCCAUUCAGACCGCAAAGAAAACAAAUACCUCCGAGUCGUGGCAAUCUGUACAGCAUGAGAUCCACAGGAUUGCUAGAGUCAUCAGCCAAGCAGCGUUAGUCCUAAGUGGAGGGUUGACAUGA